rnacentral:rRNA from 1 species
UACGUAGGGGGCAAGCGUUGUCCGGAUUUAUUGGGCGUAAAGAGCGUGUAGGCGGCUUGGUAGGUCUGCUGUGAAAACUCGAGGCUCAACCUCGAGCUGUCGGCGGAAACCACUUGGCUAGAGUCCGGAAGAGGAGAGUGGAAUUCCCGGUGUAGCGGUGAAAUGCGCAGAUAUCGGGAGGAACACCUAUGGCGAAGGCAGCUCGCUGGGACGUUACUGACGCUGAGACGCGAAAGCGUGGGGAGCAAACAGG